rnacentral:ribozyme from 2 species
CUUUUAAUGCUACCCAAAGGUCGUGACAAGUCGAUAAAACGCAGAGUCAAAA